rfam:Otolemur garnettii contig042286, whole genome shotgun sequence.
GCUGGGCGUUGUGAUGGGCGCCUGUAGUCCCAGCUACUCAGGAGGCUGAGGCAAGAGAAUUGCCUAAGUCCAAGAGCUGGAGGUUGCUGUGAGCUGUGACACCAUGGUACUCUACUGAGGGUGACAAAGUGAGACUCUGUCUCUCUCUUUUUUUUUUUGAGACAGAAACUCAAGCUGUCCCCCUGGGUAGAGUGCCGUGGCAUUACAGCUCACAGCAACCUCCAACUCCUGGGCUCAAGUGAGUCUCCUGCCUCUG